GCCGACAUGGUGUAGUGGUUUCAGCACUGGACUAUGACUCUGGAGAGCAGGGUUCAAAUCUCUGCUCAGUCA